UGGGGAAUAUUGGACAAUGGGCGAAAGCCUGAUCCAGCCAUGCCGCGUGUGUGAAGAAGGUCUUCGGAUUGUAAAGCACUUUAAGUUGGGAGGAAGGGCAGUAAGUUAAUACCUUGCUGUUUUGACGUUACCGACAGAAUAAGCACCGGCUAACUCUGUGCCAGCAGCCGCGGUAAUACAGAGGGUGCAAGCGUUAAUCGGAAUUACUGGGCGUAAAGCGCGCGUAGGUGGUUUGUUAAGGUGGAUGUGAAAGCCCCGGGCUCAACCUGGGAACUGCAUCCAAAACUGGCAAGCUAGAGUACGGUAGAGGGUGGUGGAAUUUCCUGUGUAGCGGUGAAAUGCGUAGAUAUAGGAAGGAACACCAGUGGCGAAGGCGACCACCUGGACUGAUACUGACACUGAGGUGCGAAAGCGUGGGGAGCAAACA
rnacentral:rRNA from 1 species